AGCGAACGCUGGCGGCAGGCCUAACACAUGCAAGUCGAACGAACCUUUCGGGGUUAGUGGCGGACGGGUGAGUAACACGUGGGAACGUGCCUUUAGGUUCGGAAUAACUCAGGGAAACUUGUGCUAAUACCGAAUGUGCCCUUCGGGGGAAAGAUUUAUCGCCUUUAGAGCGGCCCGCGUCUGAUUAGCUAGUUGGUUGAGGUAAUGGCUCACCAAGGCGACGAUCAGUAGCUGGUCUGAGAGGAUGAUCAGCCACAUUGGGACUGAGACACGGCCCAAACUCCUACGGGAAGCAGCAGUGGGGAAUCUUGCGCAAUGGGCGAAAGCCUGACGCAGCCAUGCCGCGUGAAUGAUGAAGGUCUUAGGAUCGUAAAAUUCUUUCACCGGGGACGAUAAUGACGGUACCCGGAGAAGAAGCCCCGGCUAACUUCGUG
rnacentral:rRNA from 1 species